GGUGAUAUAACAAGGAACCCAUGCUAUCACAUGGAAGCAUCUGCACCUGCAACUAGCAACGCUAUCGACAGGGUUAAGCAAGCAGCAACAUAGCCAAUCAGUGGUUUGCUAGGUCGAACAGGUUGAAGGUAAUCAUGGCAUUGUUGAGAGGCUGAAUUUUAACAGGUGGUAGGCAACGAGACGUAAACGAUAGAAGCGAUAAAACUAGCAUGGCGAUGAUAGUAAUGGUAUCUGGGGAAAUGAUCAUCUUGCCUGAGAUCCCGCUUGGAAGAAGAAUGCCACCGUGAAGCAGACGAACCGACGUAGUCGAACGGGUCCUC
rnacentral:lncRNA from 1 species